UACGUAGGGUGCAAGCGUUGCCCGGAUUUACUGGGCGUAAAGGGCGCGUAGGCGGCCUGCUAAGUCGAACGUGAAAUCCCUGGGCUCAACCCAGGAACUGCGUCCGAUACUGGUUGGCUUGAAUCCGGGAGAGGGAUGUGGAAUUCCAGGUGUAGCGGUGAAAUGCGUAGAUAUCUGGAGGAACACCGGUGGCGAAGGCGACAUCCUGGACCGGUAUUGACGCUGAAGCGCGAAAGCGUGGGGAGCAAAAGGG
rnacentral:rRNA from 1 species